UCCCUCUGAAGAUCAUAAUGAACACUUACUAACAGAAUAUGAAAUCCAAAUCCUCUGUUGAAUAGUUCUGGUAUAUAUUCUUCAAGCUAUUUCAAUAGUUCUCUUAACCCUUUGCCAAAGUGAUCAUGCAUUUCAAUUGAUCCUAUCAAUGAAAUAGAUUUAAGAAACAGAAAAUCUUUUUUAUUAGACUAGUUCUCUAGAAUGACUUGUGCAACCAGAUGAUUAAAAACGACACACUUUAUGUUCUGGGUUAUGGACUUUUUACAGUAUCUUGCAAGUACUGGUGAUGCAUGCUAUGAUAUUUAUGCUUAUUCUAGUAAAUAAGCAGGUAUAGGGUAGCUGACGCAAAAUAAGACAGCUAUAACAAACUUGGAGGAGAUAGGACAUACAAAGCUUUUUGUGCGACUUGUCCCAUGGACAACAAGGUUCGUCAUAUUUCCAAUGAGGCUAUCUUCCCUGAAGUUUGGUAUCACUGCACCGAUCCAGGUUCUUCCUGGGUCAGGGUAUCUAUCGGCAAUCAUAUAGUUAAAGCAUCCAGAACAGUGAACCGUGAAAAGAGUCACCUGUAGUACAAAAAGUUAUUGUACUGAGAACUUGUGGAGUUGUUUGAGGCAACACACUGAAUAAGAAGCUUACAGAGAAAAGCUUUGUGCACCGUGUCCAGAAAUAAUUCAACCGAAUAUCCUUCUCAAGUCUGAGGAAAGAAAAAUUAUCAAAAUAAUAUUUGUUCUUUUAUUGGUGAUAUAUAUACUGCAGAAUGGGAGGAGAAACAGACCUAGCAAACAGGGAACUGACACGAUGCAGCCGCCACAGCCUAAGCAUACUUAGAAGUUUAAAGCCAAGGCUAUUACCAUGUCUAUUGAAGAAGAAGCUGAUUGUUUGAAAGGGAAAUGUCGAACAUACAUCAAACAUGAACCAUGUGGACAGGUACCUGUGAAGUCAGAUUGUAUGAAGCUCAAACAGCAUCUAAGCUUCACGUCAUACAUGAUUCACAUAGAAUUUAGACACUAUAGUGAAGUAAAUAUUAGUACUUUCAAAGAAAUAGAAGACAAGUAAUAGUUAAAAUGCUAACCUGAUCGCUAUUCUUUUUGGAUCAUCAACAAGGAGAUAGGAUUUGUGGUCGAUGAAAGCAACAAAGAAGGUAAGUACAAUGUCAAUUGCAAAAAAACUAUUGACUAUGUUGUCCACAAGAAAGAUUGUGCUUGGCAGGUAUCUUAGAAAUGCAAACUCAAAUGGGCAGAUCCAGGCUGAGUAGAGAACCAGGAGUAUCAGAAACAUCUCCCACAAUCUGAAAGUGAUUGGUGAAAAUGGAAGAAAAUAAACUGCCUGAUUCUACAAAAUGUAAAUGUUAGAAACAAAGAGGCUGUUGAGUUGGUAUACCUGUAACGAGGAUCAUAUGGCGAAACAAUGUGUUUCCUGAGCUUAAUUGUAUUGUUUAUUGUUGCCCCAAGUGAUGGCAAAAGAUCACUGUGUGGACUGUAUGCCCCGUUUCCCAAUUGGAAGCCAUCGCUGCAGAAGUGCUGAAAGUAGUUUGUGCAAGAGAAUAGCAUGGCUGCACUAUGAUGCUUUUGUAGUCUGAUUGAUAUUUCAGUGGUGAUGGGAGUGGUUGUAUAUAUAACAAAGUGAAACUUGCUGUCUGUCUGUUGCCCUCUAUAUUAUGGGCUGGUUGGUAAAUGCAAAGCAAGGGGAUGAAUAAAGAUAAAGGUCAUGAGAGGGAAAAGGCAUCAGGAAUUUACUUGAAUUUAAUCAUUAGGGGCAAGAAAAACCACAGAUUGUGUUUUGAAUUGACGUCAGAACAUUAAUUUUCUUGAAACAAUGGAUGGAGGCUUUAUGUGAAAGAUACAAGUUAUGUGGUGGUGGAAACUCUACUUACAUGUUUGUGGUGGAUGUAAUUUUAGAAUGUCCAUGUAAAUUGUUGAUUUGAAGCGACUCUUCAUGAAACGUCAUACCAUAUUGAGGCCUUGUGAUGUUAAGUCGCUUUGGAGUUAAUUUUGAGGAAUUACAUCAUUUUAGAGUUUCUGAAACAUGUCAGAAGAUGGACGUGGCACCACAUUUUACAAUGAUGCAUGUUUAGUUUAGAUUGCACCAACUCUCAGUAGAGGUAUUCAGCUUAUCGUGAUGGAUGGUCACAACAGAAAGACUUCAUUUUCUUGUAACUCACUCACCAUUUUUGAGUUUCCUGAAACUUGCCAGAAGAUGUUCAUGGCACCACAUCUGGUGAUGCAUGUCUAGUCUAUGAAUGUUCCAAGAUGCUCAGAAGAGCUAUUCGUCUAAUCCUGAUCGAUGGUCAUGACAUAAAAACUUCAUUUUCUCUCUUCACAGUGAGCUUCAUAAGUUUUCCCUGAACCAUAUUGUUCUUCUUGGCACUAUGACAUUGCAUUCUGAUGGCAGUAAUCUAGCAAAGUUCUAUUAUAUUUCUAGUGUUGGCCUUGGAAUUUGUGACAUUGUGAGAAGUAGCAAUUCAGUUCAUGUAUCAUAAAACAGUAAUUCGAAGAUCAAGUCAGAUUAUGUGGCAACUCAAAAGGGUUACAAGUGCCACUUAACUUUGUGAAGCCAUGUACUAUGUCGGCAGAUGGUUAUCACAGAACUUCAAUCCCAGCCCUUUUGGAUGAACUGUUGCUCAAUGAAAACCAUGUGGUCUGAUCUUUGUGAAGAUCUAUCUAUCCAUCCAUGAUGAAUGUCUGCAUAAUGUAGAAUAACUCAGAUGUCAAACUUCGUGGUGGGUGUCAUGACUCAAUGAUUGAUGCAGAGGAAGAAUGGGACAUCACCUCUUUGUCACAGGGUCUGUUGCUAAGGUUGUCAUGGUUAUCAGGAAGAGCCGAGGGUUUACAGCAUUCAAAUGCGACAUUUGAGUUCUCUGUACUGACUGAGCACACAGGAUACGGCACCUUAGAGCUUUUACCAUAUUAACAGCUUAUGUUCCCUUCUGUCUUCCCCUCACUGGACAAAGAAGCUAGGGGAAAGAACAUCUUAAAUGCCAUAGGUCUGGAACCUGAUCCACAUAUUGGUUGGUUGGUUCUUUUAUUUUUAACCUCCAUCACUAAAUAGCUCGAGUCCCCGAUGCUCUGUACAAUAAUUUGGGAUAUCUUCCAUUCUUUGGUUAGCUCACCUCUCAUGUCCCAUCUCAUGGUCCCUCAAAGUGAAUUGGUCCACAUAAUUGAAAGGUUCUAUGGCCUAAGGAUUAGCCCACUGCUUCAUUAGUGCUUCUGUUAUCAUUCAAAUGGAUACUGCAUAACCUGAUCGAGAUUUGUAGAUUGGUGUUAUUGUUUUCUCCUUCAUUUUUGGUGUGAGACGAAUACGGUGGCAAGACUCUCCUUUAGCUCUUUGUGGUUGCUUUUUGAGAUGUACCAUGACAUUUGACACAGUGUAGCUUGUGAGUUCUACAUGGCACCCCAGUUACCUCAUCUCAACUGAGGUAAGAAGGCUGUUGUUACGUCGGUGACUAGUAAUCCGCUGUUAUUCCGCAUUAUCCACUGUCAGCUUCAUCUUGUGCAAUGUAUUAGCUGGGGAUGAUUGAUCAUGAAACAUUCUCUUAAUCUCUGUUGUCUUUCAUCAGCCACGUUUUGGUGCCGUAGCAUGUUCUUAUAUUCUAUAUGAAAAAGAUGCACCAUCAUUAAUUAUUUGGUUGUUGUCUUAGCAUUGGAACUUGGUGGAUAGGCAAAGGCAGGCAGGACAUCGGUCAAGGUGGACCAACAAAGUAUGGCUUUCCCCUGGAGUCCUGAUGUUUGGUGGUCCUCUUGGAAAAUUGGAGGUGCAACUAUAUCAUGCCUCGAUAUUCCUUGGUACUGUGACAUGGAUUUUUAUAUCCGCACCUGCAGAUAUUGGUGUGAUAUUUCAUGAUUAUGUCGACCCAAAGGACUGGUUCAUCCUUAUCAUAGCUAUCUAAUAUUGUCUCUAAUGAAUGUUGCAGCUCGAGUACAACACUAUUCAUCAGCAAUCUUUGACAGUCUCUUUAGCAUUUUAGCUUUGCAGAGGUGUUGUAGCGAGGACCGUUCACCAUGCUGGUAUCGAGUGGUUGAUCAUUCAAGCAACCAAUCUCCCUCAUCCUGCGUGGCUCUCUCACAAACCGCAAACCAUUCAUGUGCUGCUCACAAGGAGAUCAUGCCUACCCCUCGUCCCAUGGUGGCAGGUGGGAGUUGACAUAGAUCACUUUCCAAGAUUUCUGAUGUUUCUGUGGAGUGAAUCAGCACCCAAACAUUUUGUCACCUCUCACCAGCUUGAUGAGUGGGAUUGAUCUAGUGGAUUUCCCAUCCCCCAAACUGGAUAAAGGAAAUCAUCUGUUGAAGACUGUUGAUUGGACUAGAUCAUGAAUGACAUGGAAAGCUUGGUCAUCUACGCAAGAGGAUUGAGUGUUGAUCGCACUAGAUUAUGGUAUUAAGUGAUGCAAACACCUGCAUGCGACAAGUGCCGGAUUUGUUGCAAGGAAUAACAUCACGGAAACAAUUAUUGUGAUGACUACCCAACACCUAAACAGCACACUACUCAUGGCAAAGACUGUUGUGGCUUGGGAUGACGGCCAACCACCUUCAUGUUUAAACUCCUGCUGUGGAAGGAGAUUCUAUCACACAGAUUAUUUAUGUCGAAGAAAAUGGUAUCCAUGUGCCUACCACAUGAUAUUUCUGAGUAUGGUUUACCAUGGAUCAUUGUCGUCGGCAUCCGACUGGGCUGCAACUUUUGGGACCGCCAUGACCGUCUCCAGAGAUGGACCGUUUGUUUCCCUGUGGAUGUUCGGGUAUGAAUACUUCUCUUAGCUUCGCAGUAAAAUUCAUUCCCUCUCUUUUUCUUUCUGAAAUAGAUGUUCCAUAUUGUCAUCCUCUUGCAUCCUUAAUCGUUUGUCUUUUCCUAGUGAGUGAUAACUAAGAUAGAACACUCAUAAGCUUGCAAUUUUUGUUGGAACAAGUGGAAGUGGUCUGAUUGACCUAAGGAUCUUUUGGAACAUGAUAUGUAAGAGGAACGAUCAUAUGCUUGCUGGUACUAACUUACCUAGGGAUCUUUUGGAGCAUGAUAGAUAUGUAUUGUUGAUUAGUCAUUGAAUGAAGUGAUUUCUUUUCAGAAAGUGAAAUAUUGAUAAAAACACAACAGUAGAGUGGAUAUUUGUCAUGCAAUCCAUAAGAACUUUAAAUGCACUAUGUAGUCAGAAAAAACACAACUUAGUACCACCCAUACGAUGAGAGAGAGAUUUUAUCUUGUUCCAAGUUGCAUGUACACCCGAAAGGUGUGAUGGUCAAAGAAUGCAUCUGGAGGACAAGUCAUCUUUGUGCAUACAAGUCAUAUCAAUGUUCCAGUGUUCCCCUUUAGGUACAAGUCAUAUAUAUCAUCUCGAAGCAUCGUAAAAUCCCCUUCCUUUUGGUUGAUGGCUUCCUACGCCAUGCAUCUUUCUACAGCAUCGGUUCAUGUUAACAAAGGCUCAAGAUUAGCUUGUGUCGGUGAGAUUACUGUUUGAGCCCCAGGAAAGUUUCAAGAUUUCCCAACUCCGAGUCGGCUCGACUCCUGCCGUGCCGGACUCGGUUCAGAAUGGCGUCGACGUCGUCGUACCACGACGACCAGGACAUCAAGUGGUCCGUGUUGCCAAGUUGAAGUAGAGUACCACCUGCUUGUCAAAAUGCCACAUUGGAACCAUAUGCUACGAGUCCUAUUCACCACUGCAUUAUGGAGCGAACCCGUCCAUGGUGGACGGCCGUCGUGUUGUAAGAGUCCAACGUGACUGUUCCCUCUCUCUGGAGCCAAUGGAGACUGUACUCUCCACUUCUUCAAGGAUUAGGCAGAGGAGUGAGAUUCGACUCUCCGGGCGCCGAGAAGCUGUGUUCUCUUUGCUAGCUGUGGGAGAGGACUGCAACCAGCAGUCGCACAAGUAAAUAACAGGGUGCAUCUAAUUGAGGUUCUCUUUCCACCUUCUAGUCAUUUUGGAAGUAAGCUGGGGGGGAAGGAGGAGGGGGAGUUGACCUAUGACUUAAGGUGGUCCUACCAUAUCUACAAUAAUUUGCCGAGCUAUUCCCAUCCACCUUCCAUUCCAUGGGAAACCUUAUUUUGGUUAACUCGUGCAAUAAUUGAAGGGAUACCACUAACUCCGGUACAUCGUCAGGUUUAAGGUCACAUCUAUAGUGGGUGCAUGUUUCGCUUGAUCGAGGAACAGGACAUUUCUCUUGUCGAUAAACGUGCGGCGGCAGACGACCGGUGAUCAUGGCGAAAUCACCCUCGUCACUCACCUUUGUCGUUGUGACAGUUCAUCUUUUGUUCGUUGUCAUCCUUCUCCGUUGUAUGAUUGUAAGUAGCAAGGCUAGGCUUGUGACAUCCGGGGACUUUCUGCCAUUUUGAAACUGCAGCUGCCGAAUUAAGUUCUUGUUGCAAUCAA